rnacentral:rRNA from 1 species
CGACGUGAGGAACCUGCCUUGGAGUGGGGAAUAACAGUUAGAAAUAGCUGCUAAUACCGCAUAAUGCAGCGAAGUCGCAUGGCUUUGCUGCCAAAGAUUUAUCGCUCUGAGAUGGCCUCGCGUCUGAUUAGAUAGUUGGCGGGGUAACGGCCCACCAAGUCGACGAUCAGUAGCCGGACCGAGAGGUUGGCCGGCCACAUUGGGACUGAGACACGGCCCAGACUCCUACGGAAGGCAGCAG